UUUGACCCCUAGUCUGGGAACCUCCAUAUGCCUCAGGUAUGACCCUUAAAAGACCAAAAAAAAAAAAAAAGAAAAAAAGGAAAGUUCCUCUUGGGUUGGCACCACUGAAUUUGCAAAAAGCCCUUAGCUAUAAAAUCAGUGACAUUUCCCUGAACUCAACAACCACUUCCCUCCCUUUCCUCAAUGGCCCAAUCCCUCAGCUUUCUACCUACUUUAAAUCCCAUUCUCCCCAAACAAUAGGCCCCAGAGCAAAAAAAUGACACAGCCCCUUGGUCAAAACCAGUCGCGCUGAGAAUGUGGUGUUUUCCUUUGAUUUCCCCAGCAGUUAGCCUAGCAGGGCUUGCAAAUCAAGAGCAGCUCUAAAGUGACCAUGGGCGGUGCCAAGAGAGCAUGGAGGACACUGCAGCAUCUGCCUGAAUCAUUUCGGCAAAGGAGUUGUCUUGUGGUGCAGUGGGACCUGUCAUUGCUACUAAGACGGCUCAGAUCACUGCAGAAGCACAGGUUCCAUUCUUGGGCCCCGGGAUUUCCACAUGCCUCAGGAGGAUAAAACAAAGUUGGCACUCUGCAACCCAGAAGAGGGCCCGCAUCAGAACCUGACCAUGUUGGCACCCUGAUCUUGAACUUCCAGCCUCCAGAACCGUGAGACAUUUCUGCUGUUUCUAAGCAACCUAUGGGUACUUUGUCAUAGCAGCCUGUGCUAAGACAGUAUCCACAUCUGGUUCUCAGGUGAAGGUGUGAACAGUAUUGUUGAGGGAACAUGUGAAUAAAAGACCAAGAUUUCAGAGAUGGUUAGAGGUAAAGUCAGUGACUCUAAGGUUCUAGAUGUAGAACGAAAACCAGAGGAGCAUAAUGUCACAAAUCCCGUUUGGAGUCUUCCAAAUAAAGUGUUUAGCAAUAUACAAUACUAUUAUUGUCAAAUAAGACAGAGUAUCUUCUGUGCUUAAAAAAAAAAAACAGCAACAAAUUUCAAGUUUGGUGAAUAGUGGCAGAAACUAGUUUCACUUGAGUUCAGUGGUAAAAGUGAGAUGUGGUUCAUCAAGAAACAAUUCAGACAAGGAACUGGGUUUGUGAAGAAGGGGUUGCGGGAAAGAUUUUUAAGAAUUUUGUUUUGGAAGGAGUUUCCUGGUGGCUCAGCAGGUUAAGGUUCCAUGUUGUCACCACUGUGGCACAGGUUUGGUCAUGUUUAAAGAAAGGCAUGGAUCCAAUUAGAGAAGCUGAGAUAGUGGAGGAAUGAGAAGGCUACGUUAAGAAUCUGCUGGGGAGGACUGCUUAAGAUUUAAGGUUCGGGUAGGGUCCAGGAAUCUGUAUUUAAGUUUCCCAUGUGACUCUUGGUGCUCAAGCAAGUUUGGGAGCUGGGAGAAUCACAGAGCAAAACAUUGUAGAAAGGUUGGAAAGGCUAGUAUCUCUAACACAGAUCUUUCAUGCUUUGAUUCUCUAAGCAGGAGAGGAAAAACUUAUAAUGGAUAUAGGUACAGACAGAUGUGAUAAUGGAUAGUUCAGAAGUAAUCUGCUCACAGCAAUUGGGGAAUGGAUGAGUUUAUAGGACUGGAGGUUUCAAAUUGUUUUGAAGAAUGAAGGACAGGUUGCUAAUGUUGAGAAACUGGUUGAGGAUGGUGACCUCAAGUUAUCUAAGGGCAUC